AUUUUACUCAUCGUGGGAAAUCAUAGGGUUCUAUGUAAUACCACUUUUUCUCCAAUUCUGUUCCCAUGAAGAACAUUUUUGAAAUCGAGCAAGAAUAGUGCAGGGAUCCGUGCAUUUUCGGCAACAUUAUAAGUAAUGUUUAAAUUUUGCUUGAAAAUGUCUGAUAAUGAAAUGCUGCCCUGCAGCGCUACAUUGACGAGGUCACGCAUAUGUACUCCUGUACGCCCAUUAAUGACACUGAUUACAGUCUGGGUCUGGUACUUCCUCCGUACAGUCAAUAUUACAUCCAGGCUGAUCUCAGCGAUGUCAUGCUGCAGCUGCAGUAUUUACAGUCUCUGCUGCCGAACUCGUUUGAGUCGGCUGGACACGUGUUUCUAGCUCCAAGGUAUACACAUCCACCCAUCCGUCAUGAUGUUUCUUCUGGUAAAGGUUUGAGAUAUUGUGUGUUUUUGUG